rnacentral:tRNA from 1 species
CGGGCGGUAGCUCAGCCUGGUAGAGCUUCCGGCUGUAGACCGGAUUGUCGCAGGAGGGUUGAGGCAUUCCUCAAUUCGGCGACUUCAAAUCCUGCCCGCCCGACCA